AACGAACGCUGGCGGCAUGGCUAACACAUGCAAGUCGAACGAGACAUUCGGGUCUAGUGGCGCACGGGUGCGGAAGGCGUGGGAAUCUACACUCGGGUUCGGAAUAACAGUUAGAAAUGACUGCAAAUACCGGAUGAUGACGUAAGGCGAAAGAUUUAUCGCCCAAGGAUGAGCCAGCUUAAGAUGAGCUUGUUGGUGGGGUAAUGGCCGACCAAGGCGACGAUCUUUAGCUGGUCUGAGAGGAUGGUCAGCCACACUGGGACUGAGACACGGCCCAGACUCCUACGGGAGGCAGCAGUGGGGAAUAUUGGACAAUGGGCGAAAGCCUGAUACAGCAACGCCGCGUGAGUGAUGAAGGCCUUAGGGUUGUAAAGCUCUUUUACCAGGGAUGAUAAUGACAGUACCUGGAGAAUAAGCUCCGGCUAACUACGUGCCAGCCGCCGCCGUAA
rnacentral:rRNA from 1 species